rnacentral:rRNA from 1 species
GUGGGGAAUCUUGCGCAAUGGGCGAAAGCCUGACGCAGCCAUGCCGCGUGAAUGAUGAAGGUCUUAGGAUUGUAAAAUUCUUUCACCGGGGACGAUAAUGACGGUACCCGGAGAAGAAGCUCCGGCUAACUUCGUGCCAGCAGCCGCGGUAAUACGAAGGGGGCUAGCGUUGCUCGGAAUUACUGGGCGUAAAGGGCGCGUAGGCGGACAGCUUAGUCAGAGGUGAAAGACCAGGGCUCAACCUUGGAAUUGCCUUUGAUACUGGCUGUCUUGAGUUUGGGAGAGGUGAGUGGAACUCCGAGUGUAGAGGUGAAAUUCGUAGAUAUUCGGAAGAACACCAGUGGCGAAGGCGACUCACUGGCCCAAUACUGACGCUGAGGCGCGAAAGCGUGGGGAGCAAACAGGAUUAGAUACCCUGGUAGUCC